rnacentral:rRNA from 1 species
GACGUAGGGAGCAAGCGUUGUCCGGAAUCAUUGGGCGUAAAGCGCGCGUAGGCGGUUCGGUAAGUCUGCUGUGAAAGUCCAGGGCUCAACCCUGGGAUGCCGGUGGAUACUGUCGGACUAGAGUACGGAAGAGGCGAGUGGAAUUCCCGGUGUAGCGGUGAAAUGCGCAGAUAUCGGGAGGAACACCAAUUGCGAAGGCAGCUCGCUGGGACGUUACUGACGCUGAGACGCGAAAGCGUGGGGAGCAAACAGG